AACGUAGGAGGCAAGCGUUAUCCGGAUUUACUGGGCGUAAAGGGCGUGCAGGUGGUGGUCUAAGUGGUGCGUGAAAGCGCUCGGCUCAACCGGGCGAGGGCGUGCCAAACUGGGUCACUAGAAACAGGCAGAGGAAAGUGGAAUUCGGGGUGUAGUGGUGAAAUGCGUAGAGAUCCCGAGGAACACCCGUGGCGAAGGCGGUUCUCUGGGACGGUACUGACGCUGAGACGCGAAAGCGUGGGGAGCGAACAGG
rnacentral:rRNA from 1 species